CAGUCAAGACAACAUUUGGGUGGAGGAGGUCGGGGAACGUACGGCGGAUGUAGACACUUUGAAAUUCUUACAUAUAUUUUUACAUCAAUUUCUAUUUCAACAUGAAACAAAGCAGUCUUGGUAGACUUCUUUUGACAUCAUCUGGAGCAAAUCGUCUGCACAGAUACAAUAUGUCUUCGAAACAGCCACCAUCACAGGUGAGCGCUGGAGCCAACCGUUUGGGCUACAGGCCCGGUGGAAUCAAGUCCGGUACGGCCGCAGCUGACCAAAUGGCCUGCACUACGUAGGAUCACGGUGGCAAAGUUCCAGCGGGCAGCACGGUCUCUAAGAUGCAGUCCGCGGGGAGCAAGGGCAACUACUUUAGAGGAGGCGCCAGCGGGCAUAAGAAGUAGACUGGACAUUCGGGACCAGUCUUGGAAUCUAGUUGACCGAGGUCAACUUAAUUGUAGUGACUGAUACUUUUAUCAAAUAAUUAAUUUCGUUUGUCCAUUCUAGUUUCCCGUAAUAAUAAGUCAAGUAUCUUCAAUUUCUACUAAAUAUUUUUUAACUAUUAUCUGUCAAAGAGUAUUUGUGAUUGUCUAACAUUUUGCAUUAAAAAGCCUUGGAUAAAAAAGAAGAUAUCAUGGCCUAUUGAUUAUCAAAAUGCAAAUUGUAGUGACAAAUUGUUCAUUAAAAUGCAAAUUGUAGCGACAAAUCGUUUAUCAAAAUGCAAAUUGUAGCGACAAAUUGUUUAUCAAUUAAUUAAUUUCGUUUUUCAAUUUUAGUUUCCUGUAAUAGUAAAUCGAAUAUCUUCAACUUCUACUCUUUAAAUUGUUUUGAAAACCAUCUGUCGAUGAGUAUCUUUACUUCUCUAACAUUCUACAUUAAAAAGCCUCGGAUAAUAAAAAACAACAUAUCAUGGCUUA